rnacentral:lncRNA from 1 species
AUCUCUUCUAAAAUAAUGUAAAGCAGUGAAGUAGAACAGUGUUGUUUUAGAGCAUCCAUGCUGUUUAUCUCCUUCUGUCUGACUCUGAACAUUUAACUGAACUUUGUACCACACAAAUCUCUUCCAUGCUCUGCAUCAUGCUUCUCUUCCUUUCUUUCUUAUCUUUGUGAUGCAGGUAGUAAGUCUGAAUUCUCUUCUGGUAAAUGAGCAGAGCUGCUUGAGCCCAUAGAUCUCUUCAAUGACUGGAUGGAACAGAGAAAGAGAACCUUUGUCAAAGAUCAAUUAUUUCUUAAUUGCAGGAUCUAUCACUGGAAGAACAUUUUUUAAGGAAAGAAACAGCAGUGUAAUCACAUCCAGAACUGCUUCAGAGAGCUGGCAUGGACUGUGCUGUCAUCCUACUAAACAAAUGAGGAGCUGAAGAAACAGACUUGGUAGAAUAUUUUUUUAAAUUUUAUUUUUCAAUGAAACUUCAAGUACUAUGGUUUGUUUGACAUUUGCACUGGAAAUGGUAUGGCUCCUGAGAGCAUGGCUACUUGUAUAAGGUAAUGUUUUUGCUUUGUUCUUAGAUAUGUUAG